UCGGCUUUUGGUGAUAUACCCUGGUUCCACCAUUUGAGAAGGGGAUCGCACCUAUGCGCGCCAACGUGUCUACGUAAGACUGCAAAGAACCCCUUGGUUGAACAAACAAAGCAGUACCAUUCCCAUAAUAUGCAAGAACCCCUUGGUUGAAAAAACAAAGCACAACGGUUCCCAUUUCAGGGUCGGAUGUAUGCAAGGUAACUGAUCUAUUUGUUUUCAACCAUUGUAUAGAUAUGAUUGGUUUUAUCUAGACAGGGAACAAGCAUCAGACCUAUUUG